rnacentral:rRNA from 1 species
UACGUAGGGGGCUAGCGUUGUCCGGAAUCAUUGGGCGUAAAGAGCGUGUAGGCGGCCCGGUAAGUCCGCUGUGAAAGUCGGGGGCUCAACCCUCGGAUGCCGGUGGAUACUGUCGGGCUCGAGUACGGAAGAGGCGAGUGGAAUUCCUGGUGUAGCGGUGAAAUGCGCAGAUAUCAGGAGGAACACCUAUUGCGAAGGCGGGUCUCUGGACAGUUCCUGACGCUGAGGCACGAAGGCCAGGGGAGCAAACGGG